rnacentral:rRNA from 1 species
CAGGAGCGUAUAUUAAAGUUGUUGCAGUUAAAAAGCUCGUAGUUGGAUUUCUGGUAUAAUGCGCCUGGCCCGCGGCGGUUACGCCUGUGAGUGCCGGUGCGCGUUUACCAUCCUUCUAGAAAACGUUUCUGCCCUUCAUUGGGUCGGACUCGCGAUCUAGAUCUUUUUACUUUGAAAAAAUUAGAGUGUUUAAAGCAGGCUUAUGCCGUUGAAUAUAUUAGCAUGGAAUAAUAAGAUAGGACUUUGAGUCUAUUUUGUGGUUUGCGAGUCAAAGUAAUGAUUAAUAGGGACAGUUGGGGGGUAUUCGUAUUUCAUUGUCAGAGGUGAAAUUCUUGGAUUUCUGAAAGACGAACUACUGCGAAAGCAUUUUACCAAGGAUGUUUUCAUUAAUCAAGAACGAAAGUUAGGGGAUCGAAGAUGAUUAGAU